GCGAUAUGUGGCCAGCUAACCUAUUCCUUAUAUUUUCCCCCUAGGACUCUGAUCUUUGAAGAAAUUAGUUUGGCUAUGGAACCUUCUAACUGAGAUCCUUCAUGUCCUGUGAGAACCCCAAAGACCCAGAUGGAGUGGUCUUCAAAUGCUGGAAGCCUGCGCCAGUGGGCAGUGUGGAGAGCCUAAGAAGAUGCCCGCAGGUCAGAUCUGGAGAAGGCAGAUUGCUAAACUUGGUUACCACUCUGCCCACUUCACCAGCGGUAGGACAGACACACCCUAAUUAUACCACCUCCUAGAAAUGGCAACCGGAACUUCUACAUUGCUGCUUAAAAACAGUGACACCAACCAACAUACGGAGAUGUCAUCGUUAUUAAACAGCACAUGAUAGCUGGAGACGGUGCAAUAAUAAUCUAAACAAUCACAAAGAAACGUUCUCUGAAGAUCCAGAAACGGAUUUUGAAGACUCGAAAUUCCUGGAGAGAUGGGCACGUGAGCAUGGUCCCCUGACCAGGUAAGAUAGCUUCUAACAGUAAGCCCUUGUUUCCUGUCUUCACAGGGACCGCUUGGAGUAGGUGCGCCAGAGGGUUUAGGGUUGGGAAGCCUUCCUUCUAGAGCAGCUCCACCUGGGGAGUGCUGGAACCUCACUCAAAGCUAGGGGUUCCUAGAAAGGAACCCUGUUGAGUGAACAAAUCAGCCGGCUCCCUGAUCCCUCUGUCUCCUCCCACAGCCUCACCUGCUGUGGUCUUCUAGGAGGAGGGUCUAGAGGAAAGCUCGCCACGCCAGGAGUGACUCCAGUCUGCCUGUCAAUCUUUUCCCCAAAGCCCGCAGAGAGCCGGCUUCAUUUCCACAAACUCGGAGCUGUGUGCUGGGCACUAGAUCGUCCCCAAUUCGCAAAGGAAAGAGAUCCUGGGCAGCCAGCUAUUAUAACAAUAGCAGUACUGGAGGAGCCCCUCUUUUUUCUCCUUGUACCCUCACCCCAUUAAAUAGAUUGCUAUUUGCGACAAGCUUCGAUGUUUUCGUUUAAAUUCUAGCGGUUGUGCUUAGGUUGGUCAUCUGUGUACUUAGACUUUUUGAAAAAUACCAUCGAAAUGAAAUUAUGAACAGAUUCCAACUGUUUUCCAAAAUAAUGAGCGAUCCAGCGCAGGCAGCACCCCUGCCCAGGGAGCAGGAUCUCCUUUGGUUUGGGCUAAGAUCCAGAUCGAGGGAGGAGGAGGGGCUGGGGGCGG
rnacentral:lncRNA from 1 species